GGGGGGUGGGGGCGGCCGCCCCCGCGCUGCUUUCCGUCAGCGCCCGCGGCCGGGGCUCCUCUCCCUGCCCCCGCACGCAUUGCACGAAGCGCGGGGGCCGCUGAAAUGGCCGGGGCGGCGGGCGGAGGGGCACCCGUCGAGGACACGCGCAAAUAUGUACACGCAUACACAGCUAUUAAAGUCCCAAGGUUCAACACGGGGUGGAUCGGUGAGAGCCAGGGCAGAAGCAAAAUUCUCUGAGGAACUGAAUUUCGUUAAUGCCUCACACGCUCUUACAACAUCUCCCUAGCCCUAACAUCAGCACUGACUUGGAAGAUCCACCCCACUUCCCCUUUCUGACUCCCUUGAAGUGUUCCCCCAGCCCUCUUGAAGUGAUUACCCGUGCCCUGCCUACUGUGUUUGUUUUCUCCCAAAAUCCCAUAAAGCGCGCAGACACCCUCCAGCACUCGAUGUUAGUAAAAAGCCUUGAGCAGCGGGAGCCGUCUGACUCCAGAACCGAUGGAGGGGGAUGGCGCGAAGCAGCUGAUCCCGCUCCUGCCAAAGUGACUCAGAUGAUGUUCUCUGGAGGCCUGAAGAAGCGGGCUCGAGUGGAAGCCAGCGGGGCAGGCGUGUCUGUCCGAGCUGCAGUUCUUGCAUCUGUGCCCGGACCAAGUGCCAGGAUGCUGCGAGCCGCAGGCAGGCGCUGGGGACAGUGACAGCUCUGUGGAGAGCUGCGCAGCAUGUCGCCUGUCAGAAAGCUGUGGGGAUGCUCUCCUCCUGUUGCAGAGAGCAGAAGGCUACAGCUGCAGCAUGCGUCUGUUGCUAAGGUAGCGCGUAACGCACCCAUGCUCGCCUCCGAGCAAAACAGCGCUCGCUGGAAAUCUCAUGCAGCCAGGAGUCUUGCGUGAGAGGGUGCUGCUUUGAGGCAGGUGCUGCCUCCUAUACUACUGAGCUGGGUUUCACAAAUCCCCCCAAAAUAACUCUCCGUGCAUGCAGUUUCCCUGGUUUUCAGGGGGGAGCUAUGCCGUCUAGCUAGGUGUGCUCUGCUUGCUGCUGCUGAGAAAGGUCAGCGAUGCCUCUCCUUGCUGAGAAUUUCAGGAAACUGGAUUAUGCAGCACAAGGCAGUUCAGAGGCUCUGGAUUCCUACUGAGAGAAAUGUUAGGCAGUUCUGCUCUCCUUUCCAAGCUAGGUGUGCAAAGCAAACCCCGCAUGCUCUAACAGCUUGCCACAGGAACACCUCGAAAGCUGUGAAAAGCCAGCCCCAUCUCUGACUUGCAUAGUGGGCCCAAGUGCCCCUAUAGCAAUAGUUCAUGUAUUUUGAAAACUGUGCAUGAGUCCCUCAUUUAUGACUUGCGAGGCACAGUUUUCCUCUUUAAAUUAGGCAGCUAUUUUGCUGCCAUUACUAGGCACCGAUCUGCCAUUUUAUGCUGGUUUACAGCUCUUUGGAGUGCCAUUGAUCAUCCGUUAUCUGUGUGCAGCAACUGAAGCUGCUACAGGCACGAAGCACACACACAAAACAGUGCACAGGAGGCAGCGACGGCCCUAGCUGGCAGGAAAAUCCUGAAGAGUGACAUAAAAGCCUGCAUGCCUAAAGCAAAGGGUAUCUGUAGAUAGAUUUGUCAAACUGGCUGUGAGAGCUGUCUCCCUCAGCAGUGGCCUGACCUUUGUGUUCAUGGGCUCGCUCGACACACGUGCUGCCCCAUGUCACAAUGCUCACAAAAACCAUCUGCAUCCAGAAAUCACAGUAAAUAGCAACAUCAUAGGUGAUACUUUGUUCUUCCAGCGCCGCAAAGCAGACACAAAGGAGGAUGUUACCCCUUCUUUUUUUUUUGAUCUGGAAACCAAAGCAUGCUGUGGUUAAAUGAACUGACUAAAGUCGCAUAAUCAGCCAGUGGCAGGGCUGAGAAUAGGCUCCAUGUCCUUUCCUCCAGGCCUAAGAUCUAACUCAGAACCAUCUUGGGGGCAGAGGCAGGCUACCAAAGCUAUACAUCACAGCUCUACAGAACAUGACAUUUUUAGAACAAGCUCGGCCACGAACUUACCACAGUUUGUCAAAAAAAAAAAAAAAAAAAAAAGGCAACAAAAUUUUCUUAUGAGAGAUCCUGCCUGGGCAAGAGGGCAAAAAAGGGAUUAAAGUGACAUUUAUAAAUAUUAAUGGGCUUCUAAGCAUUACAAAAGACCAAAGCCUGAAUUAACUUUCAGGAACAGUUGCUGCACACCUAGUCAAAAAUAAAGGAAUGCUGUGAAUAAGUGUAAACCUUUCACAGUUGUUUGAUAUGGCUAAUAUGCAGUCAUUUUUCAUCCACUUCAAAAUGAUUUUAGGGAAACGGUGCUUCUUUCACAACCACCCUUCCCUGGCUCUUACCCGUACUUCCUACUGCAUGCCCAAGACACGUGAGGUUCCCUUUGCAGACCAGCAGUUUCACCUGUGGCGGACCGAUGGCAACAGAGCAACUGUCUGCGGUGUUAUCUGCAGCUGCCCUCCGCUGAAACGAGGCUCCCGGAGAUGUGGGUCAGAUAAUCACUCCUUCCAAGGCAGAGGCACCGGAUGUCCAGUCUGCUUCUGAGGGCUGGCCACUGAGAGCAAUGACAUCCUUUGCCUGAGGCAACAUUCAUAGACACCCACAGCCACUUCCUCCCGACCUGGUGCUGUGUUCGCCCAGUAACACGAUCUGGGGAAGAGGAAGGUGCCGUUCAGUGAUACGGGUAAUACAGCUGCCCUGCCUAGUUGCGCGGUGGGAAUGGAGAUCAGCGGGGAAGUUUACACACCACAGGUUCCUGGGUGUCCUGGGCUCUAAUGACUCACUGUGAAAACCUCCCUGGAACAUCAUCACUGCACAGUUUGUGCAAGGGAGGUAGGUCAGUGCCAGAAUUAGCCCCAGACGGAGUCUACCAAGACGCUACUUCCAGGAAGGCAGAGUCCUGAAUGAAACAGGACCCUCAGCGCUGACAGCUGUACUCUAGUACAGGGUGAAAAGCACCAAGAAGUGACUUCCAGUACUAUCCUGACCAGCCACUGAAAACAGAAGCCUUCUUGUCCGGCUUUUGUUUUCAAAUGGCCAAUACGAACUGAUAAGCACUGGCACCAUUGUCUGGAAUAAAUGUGUUUUCAACCAGUAGAAGACUGGUGUGUUGUAAACAACUAUUGCAUGAAGUAAAGCAUACUCAAUCACAGAAGUACAAGAAAGGACACUUUUGGAGCUAGCACACUUAUGACAGUGAAAAGGAAGUAUCAUCAUUCUCUGUGAUGAAAUAUGAAAUGGAGUGUUGUAAAAUUACUUGAUACACCUUUACAAUUGUUGCAUUUUUGCUGUCAUAGCAAAGUUCCAUCUUCUGCUUGUCAGAAGGUCCCUCAUAAGUCACACACUUAUGCACUAGCAUUUUGAAUUUCAAGUAACUAAAACACAAAUGCCACGCUUCUUUUCAGAUGCAGACCUAUUCUGCUGGUGCACAGCAAGUAUGCUAUUCUGUAUGCUGUGGGUCCUCUUCAUUGCUGUGGUCUUGAAGCUCUAGGUUGGGGUCACUCUGAUAAAAUCAGAAAUGGCAAAAUUGGAUGUUCAGAGAGACUCCACUACUGCAGGGCCAUAGGCUAAAAGUCUAGGGGUUAAGGGGAGUAUUACAUUGUUCUAAAGGCUUCAUAAUGUGGCCUUAUCUUCUCCCAUUUCUCUUCUUCUCGCACGCUGGGACAGAACAUUGUUUUUUCACAAACAAAACGUUCCCUCCUCCUAGCCAAACCUCAUGCUGAUAAAGGUCAGGUUAACCUGCUUUGAAGCUCUCUGUAUCACUACAGCUCUUCAAGAUGCAGGUAAGAAUGAAGUUUCUCCACAGAAACAAAUACAGUUCAAAUACAAGGGGUUUUAAAAAUGACAACACAGCAAUGUUGCCUCCAGAGAAAGAAAUAAGUAGGUCCAUCCAGAGUUCUGAGGGUUUAAGGUAUAAAGAUUAUUAAAAGAGAGACAGUAAAGAUGUUUAAAAAAGAAAGUGACAUAGGAAAAGUAAUCCUUACUCAGAAGAUUGGGUAGCCUGCCCACAAGAACAAUUCAAGAGAUCAAGCCUACCAGAUGCCUUGAAUUUGUAAGCAGCUUGUGUGGUUUUUAUUUUCAUCAUUUUAUUUGAUUCGUUCUGGGCACAGAAGCUACUACCUGGCUCUAGCACCACUUCUUCCUUCCCCCUUAUUAUAGUGAUCAAUGAGACACUGAAUUUUGAUUAGCUGCUUUUAGUAGAAGGGUGCCAAGUACCACGGUGUUCACCUUCCUUCUGUCUGUAGCUGUAGUAUCACAUUGGGUUUGUCCUGCAGUCUGUGAGAGCAGUAGGGUUUUCUUAAAUACUCUGUAGAGAAGCUAAGGUAUACAACGGGAUAGGUGGGUCCAACUUCCUGCUUCUCAUCUCCUCGUGACAACCACAGGAAACGAUGCCAGCAGGCCUCCCCUCCCAGCAGUGGCCGCUUGCAUGUGACACUCUUACAGAGAUGUAUCAGGUACUUUCCACCCAGGUUAGCAGAAGCUCAGACAGAUUAACUGCAGUUACAUUCAGGUCAUGCUGUCAAACUUUCCUUUGCAACCAUGUAAGCUGUGGCUGUCAAAAUUUGGGACGAACUGCCAACAUAGCAGAAGAAUUUGAGAGUUAAACUGGAAGCAGUUCUUAGCAAAGACUUGCAAGCACAACUGUGCAAAACAGUGUUCAAACCCACUCCUUUCUGUAACACUGCUAUGUCAGCAUAACUUUUAAAUGUAGAACAAACGCUAAAAGCAUACAUUUUCAGUGAAACUGGAAAAGUGUGAUGGAAGUACACAAUCCUUUGUUGAUAGGCACAGGACAGAAUCUGGUCCUGCCUUGCUCUCUUAGCUGUUUGAGGUUAAUGAGAAUUUGUUUUACCUCUGUUGUGUUUUUGGCCCUUGACUAUACGAGCAGUCGCUAAAGGACUGCAGGAGAAAUUCUAACUACAAAAUACAGAAUUUUGAUCGUUAAGUGCUUGAAAGGAAUCAUGAUCAUUAGAAGAAAAAGCAGUGCACCUAAGAGAGAUAAGAGGCCAAGGACUAAGCAGAAGCAAUAAAGGGAAUGUGACUAAGUGGAGGCAUAUCUUUUAUAUUUAAGCUAAGGUAAUACAGAAGAGCUUUUCAAGUGAAGUUUUUUUCAUUCUACUAGUUUAAAUUUGUUAUCUGCACGUCAAUCCUAUACACAACCAGAGAAAAUCUAAUUGUAUACCUACAAUUGUAUAUUCAACUGUAUAUCUGUUCUAACACAGUUACUUGCAAUCCUAUUCUUUAAUCAAGUUCUCACAAACUCAUAUGUAGUGUUAAGUACAUUCUUAUUAAAACAGAAAUGUCAGAGUACUGAAG